rnacentral:snoRNA from 2 species
GGUUCAAGUGAUGAUGAGAAACUGCAAUAAUAUGAAAGGAGUUACACUCUUGUGAUUCGUAGUUUAAAGUCUGAUGAUU